rnacentral:rRNA from 1 species
CCGCGUGAGUGAUGAAGGUCUUCGGAUCGUAAAACUCUGUUAUCAGGGAAGAACAAGUAUCGGAGUAACUGCCGGUACCUUGACGGUACCUGACCAGAAAGCCACGGCUAACUACGUGCCAGCAGCCGCGGUAAUACGUAGGUGGCAAGCGUUGUCCGGAAUUAUUGGGCGUAAAGCGCGCGCAGGCGGUCUCUUAAGUCUGAUGUGAAAUCCCGUGGCUUAACCACGGGCGGUCAUUGGAAACUGGGGGACUUGAGUGCAGAAGAGAAGAGCGGAAUUCCACGUGUAGCGGUGAAAUGCGUAGAGAUGUGGAGGAACACCAGUGGCGAAGGCGGCUCUUUGGUCUGUAACUGACGCUGAGGCGCGAAAGCGUGGGGAGCGAACAGGAUUAGAUACCCUGGUAGUCCACGCCGUAAACGAUGAGUGCUAAGUGUUAGAGGGUUUCCGCCCUUUAGUGCUGCAGUUAACGCAUUAAGCACUCCGCCUGGGGAGUACGGCCGCAAGGCUG